UGCUAGGAAGGGGCGCGGCUUGUCCGAGGCUACGGCAGCCGGUGGGGGCUGCGCAGCUGCGCCCGCCUCGGGCCUUUCCCUCCCAGAGUCGCUCCGUACGCUGCCCGCUCUUGUAAAGGUACCACAUGUAAAAGAGAAGAGAGAACCUGCUGCAAAGACAUUCUUGCAUGUUUAUCUCUGUCUACAGGAUAAGUAAGACAAUGUAGACACUAGAAAUAAUUUCUGGAAGUCCUAGGGACUAAUGCCACAUUUGUGUCCCCUUUUGAAAAAUCAUGGAUAUUAUAGUCUUUGGAGAGUCCCUGAAGAUAAGCCCUUGCAAAACCUUUCUUCAAAGUAACAUCUGAAUGUGAACCAUGACUACCCCUACUGAAAUGGGGUGUCAUCUCUGCUCAGACCAGAGGGACUGGAGCGAUCAUCAUUAUGCCUUGCUUCCCGCUCUUUCUGCAGUGUUACUCACUUUAUGGUUCUAAAUGAAGAUACUUGGACUGUUUGGCUCAAGUAGCAAAUCUUAAUCCUGUAGUUCCUCUGUAUGAGCUUUUUCAUAGAAAAUGGUUGUAUGGGCUCUUGAACACCAAGGGCCCUUCAGAGAGACCUUGACAAAUUUGAGGGCUGGGUGAUCACCAGCCAUGAAGUUCAACAAGGGAAAGUGCCAGAUUCUGCAUCUGGGAUGGGGCAACCCUGGAUGUACAGACAGACUGGGGAAUGAAUCAGCAGCCCUGCAGUAAGGGACCUGGGGGUCCUAUUUGAAAGAAAGUUGAACAUGAUUCAGCAGUGCCCUGGCAGCUAGGGCCAACCCUGUCUGGGGGUGCAUCAAGCACAGCAUCACCAGCUGGGCAAGGGAAGAGAUUGUCCUGCUCUGCUCUGAGCUGGGGCAGCCUCACCUCAAGUGCUGGGGCAGUCUUAUCAAUACAAGAAAGAUAUUAAACUGUUAGAGAGCAUCCAAAGGACCACAAAGAUGGUGAAGGACCUCAAGGGGAAGCCAAUAUGAGGAGUGGUUGAGGUCACUUGGUCUGUUCAGUCUGGAGAAGAGGGGACUAAGGACAGACCUCAUUGUAGCCUGCAACUUUGCCAUGGGGAGGCACAGAUAUUGAUCUCUUCUCUCUGUGACUAAUGACAGGACUCCAGGAAAUGGCAUGAAGCUGAAUCGGGGCGGUGGGGGGUGCAGUUUACAUUGCAUAUUAGGAAAAGGUUCUUCAUCCGGACAGUGCUUGAGCACUGGAGCAGGCUCCCCAGUGUGGUGGUCACAGCACCAAGCCUCUCUGUGUUGAGAAGUGUUUGUACUAUGCUCUCAGGCACACAGUGUGAUUCUUGGGGUGUCAUGUAUAGGGCCAGGAGUUGGUCUUGAUGAUCCUGAUAUGUGCCUUCCAAUCCUGCAUGUUCUAUGAUUCUGUGAUUCUCUGAUUCUAGGUCAGUUGGCUCAGAACCUCUUUCAUAAAGUUGUCGCACAGGUUUUUUUAUGAAUCUUCUGUCCUGGAUUGUACCAUCUGUGUGAUGCUCCCAGUUGUUUUCUGGUAAGUUGAGGUCCAUCAUGAGGACAAGGGCAGUUGACUUCAAAGUGUCCUUUAGUUCCUCAAAGCAUAAUUUGUCAGCAUUAUCAUCCUGGCUGGGAAGUCAGUAGCAGACGCCCACAAUGACAUCCACAUUAUUUGUUUAUGCCUUGAUUCUUACCUAGUGUCUCUCAUCUGUGCCACUGCCAUCUGUAAGCUUCAUUGAUUCUAUUAUUGUCAUUAUAUAGAAUGCCACCUCCCAGCCUCUUCUGUCCUGCCUGUAACCAUCCAAUAGGACACUCCUAUCCCACCAUAAAAGUGAUUUAUUGAAAAUGUUAUUUUCAAACUGAACAGGGUAGGCUUGAAGUGGUCACCAUGCUAAAGAAAUGCUCAUAAAUUGUGGUAUGUUUUCAUGUAUGCAUUUUGGAUUACCAGACCACUAACUUGGUUGUACAUGCACAUUAAUUAAUCUAUUUUCCUAGAAAUCCUAGUCUAUUUGCAGGUCUAGCUUAUUUAUAAAUAGCUGGCAAGCCCUUGUCAUUGUUUUGUACUCCCGUGUUUUCUGAUGUUUUGAACCUUGUCAAUUUAGAAUUUAGGGCCUUUCUCCGAUUUCAUGCCCCUGCUCAAUUCUAGUUGAUUUGGGCCUUGGAAGCUGUUUUAGAAUUCUUCAGAUUUCUCCUUCCACUUCUCCUACUACUAAAUUAAGGUUGACCUUAAGUGUCCAAAAUUAUGCUGUGCUCUGCAUGUCAAAAGGGCUCAAACACAAAAUGUGUUUUACUUUGUUUUGGUGAUUUUGUUGCUAAUAAAUUACCAGUACAUAUUAUACAUUAGAAAGACUAUACAUGUGUAUCAUAAAUGGCAUUAUAUAAUAAAGCAUAUCUGUCACUGAAAGCUUUCCAAAUGUAUUAUUUUUAGCAUCUAUGCAACAUUCUAUCUAUGUAACAUCUGUUGCAUCUAUGCAAAAUAUGCAUUAUCAGUAUUUUUCCCUAAUUCCUUUUCUGAUGUUGUCAAAACUUAAUGUAUGUUUUUUGUCCAAUUGGACCUGUGAGAUAUGAACAUUUUUAGGAAACUGGAAAGUAGAUUAGUAGCAUUUAAUUUUGUGUUUGUACCAAAGAAGUAUUUGGGUUUGAAGAGAAGUACUUUUUGUGGAUUUUUAGGAAACCAGAAGAUGGCAGCAAGUGUUGAUUAGAAUUUUGUGCCACUGAACCUCUUCACACCUUCAGAGCAAAUCAAUAUCCUUUGUAAUGCAAGCAUUUGCUUUGAAUGUGAUGUGUAACAGAAAAGAGCUAAUUUACAUUUGUAUCAGUACCAUUAUUCUUGCACACGGAAGUAAGAGGGCUAAUCCAUUUCAAACAGAUUUAUCCAUUUGAAAAGACUAAUACUGUGAGGGGCUAUCAGUGUGCCAAAGAAAUUAGGCAAUAAUCUGCUGAACACAUAAAUACAAACCCACAUGUAUAGUGACUUUUUCUCUUCCCACUGUCAUCUCUGGACCUUUUUGCAGCUCGUGUUUUCAAGAUAGAUGCGUUUCUGAAUAGGCAGGCAUAUCAAUGCUUAAAAGUAUUCAUGGUGAUGGAAGAUAACCUUUUAUGUUGAUUUCAGGAUAGCCUAGAAUGAAGGUAGUGCUUCCAUGAAUCUUGGUGGGAACACUUAAAACUGAGGUCUGAUUCUUCUCACUGCAUCAUUCUGUUUCUAGUUUGGCAGGGUAGAUAGGAUUGAACCAGCAGACAGAGGUGCAGCAGGUUUAAUGUUUUCUUUCUCGAUUUUAAUUUGAGUACUGUAUAUAAGGUUAGCUUGUGGAAAAGUAGGAAGAAACCCAAACUCUCUGCACAAUUUAAUCAGAAUAGCAUACUUGGCCAGAGCAACUCAAUGGAAUAGUUUUAAAUCCUUUCUGGAAAUUAUCUAUUGGGCCACACAUUAAGGCCAGCUUUGAGUAAUAGCUCAACAGAUCUUGGUAAAGUUCAGAUGAGAAAAAUGCUCUUGACAUAAUAUAAAUUACUAUGGGUCAGAGAGGAGCUAGGAGAAAAAUACUGAGAACCUCACAAGUAAUUGAAUAGUAGCUCUGUCAUAUAAGCAUCCUUCAAAGUGCUUAAAUUUAGUGAAUUACAGUGUAACUAUUUUGAUGUAAGAUUUAAAUAUCAUCAGAAGUGACCUGGAAGCCACUUACAGUUUGAAAAGCCUGCUGCGUAUCUUGUCUCAUCUGGGCCUUCAUAAGUGUGAAGAAUCUUAAUCUACUUAUUUUCUUCUCAGACAAACCAUCCCGUAACUUUGAUUAUGCCCAUUGUCUUAAUUUUGUUUCUCCACUUUUCUUGUUCAAGAUACAUGUGAGCCAUGAGUCAAUAGUGGUAUAUUGAUGUUUAUUCAGUGACUUAGUGAUGUUGCCUGAUAUUCUUUUCCUAUUAAAUCAUGACAUUUGACUUGGUUUUCUGUAUCUGCUGGUAGUCCAACAGGCAUACAGUGAGGGAAGGUAAUAAAUGCAAAAUACAACAGUUCAACUGAAAAAAGUAGUAUUUUUGCAUGUUGCAACAUCAUGUUCAGGAAUUAAUUUCACUUCUAAAUAGAACAGCUGUGAAACCUUUUAUUUUUCCUCUGUCGAAUGGAUAGCAUAGUGGGGGAAAAAAUGGACAAAACUUGUGAACUCCAAGGUAAACUAAGGCCAUACUGAAAUUAUAGGAAUAAGAAGAAAAAAUACCAUAUUUGUUGGAUAGAUUUCUGUAAAAAAGACAUCUAUCCAACAAAUAUGGAUGAAUAGGGAAUUACGCUGGUGAGAGGAAUGUUAGUAAGAAUUGUUGGGGGAUCUGAAUGCCAUCCAGCUGAUAAAAAAACAGAUUUAAAGAAUCUGUGGUUUGACAAGUGUAAAUAUACAAGUGUCUUAAAUGACACUAUCACCCAUCAAUAUUAUAAGAUUGAAAAAGAUUAAGGGUUGUUACACCUAUCUGGUAUAAAAGAUAGGUCAUACUGAAAAUUAGGUAUCAUUUAUUUCCAAAAUUAAAUGCAGUAGAGGAAGUUCCACAACCUUUUUAUUUCAUCCUUCAGGACCUUUCUGGUUUAGAGACAAGUUAUCAGAUUUAGACAGGAAAUAAUUACACAUUUUUUUCUGCUAGUUAAUUGGUUUGGUCAAUUGAAUCAGUUGGUUUGAUUCUUUGAUUCUCUGUGUGAUUGGUGAAACUGUGAGAUACUUCUCUCGCUUCCUAAUAUAACAAUGCUGUAACAAGGAUUCUAAAAUAAAAAAAUAAACCCAUUAUCCCUAAUAAAUAUGCAGGUGUAAGAAUAUGUUCUUUCACAA